rnacentral:misc_RNA from 1 species
GGGGCGUGUGAGUGGUGUUUGGAUUGUCUCUGCCGGCUGGCUCCGUGCUCGUCCACCGAACGGCCGGCAGGCAAUCCGCUUCGGUUGCUGUGGGUUUGGAUGGUGCCCGAGAGGCUGGUUCUUGUGUUGCCUACCCCUUCAAGGGAAGGGGGCCGCUUGCACAGUUAGCCUCCAUCCGGCGCCUUCUAACGGGCGCGGGAGGACAGCGAAGCACCCCCCGUGUUCCACCGAGCCUUCUUUGGUCGCGUGGCCCGCGGGGAAGUGCGGUGCUCUUGGACCCAGCGCACGCCGCGGACGGGGACUCGUGUCCCGGUCCCGAGAUGAGAUUCGAUACAUAAACGUGGGACGGCCGACCUUCGCCCCUCGGACCGCCCCGGCGGCGAGAGGGCGACGGGCGGCGUCGUGGAGGACCGCUACCUGGUUGAUCCUGCCAGUAGUCAUAUGCUUGUCU